rnacentral:rRNA from 1 species
AUUGAACGCUGGCGGCAUGCUUUACACAUGCAAGUCGAACGGUAACAGGCCUUCGGGUGCUGACGAGUGGCGAACGGGUGAGUAAUGCAUCGGAACGUACCCAGAGGUGGGGGAUAACGCAGCGAAAGCUGUGCGAAUCCCGCAUGUGAUCUUAGGAUGAAAGCGGGGGACCGAGCAGCAAUGUUUGGCCUCGACCCUUUGGAGCGGCCGAUGUCGGAUUAGCUAGUUGGUGGGGUAAAGGCCUACCAAGGCGACGAUCCGUAGCUGGUCUGAGAGGACGACCAGCCACACUGUGACUGAGACACGGCCCAGACUCCUACGGGAGGCAGCAGUGGGGAAUUUUGGACAAUGGGCGCAAGCCUGAUCCAGCAAUGCCGCGUGCGGGAAGAAGGCCUUCGGGUUGUAAACCGCUUUUGGCAGGAACGAAACGGUGUCCGCUAAUACCGGGCGCUAAUGACGGUACCUGCAGAAUAAGCACCGGCUAACUACGUG